UGUUCUUCUGGGUCACCAAACUUCAUCAAUAUGUCCUGGGCUCUUUUCCUUAGCCUCUUGGUAGUGUGGGGCGAAGGAGCAACUUCGCAAAGUCUGGUGUCUCAACCUCCAUCAGCCUCAGUGUCCCCAGGAAACACGGUGAAACUCGCCUGCACCUUGGGCAGUAGCAUCAGUAUUGGAAGCUACAGGAUAUACUGGUACCAGCAGAAGCCUCCGAGCUCUCCACGUUUUCUCUUGCAGUUCCACACAGAUUCUGACAAGGGACAAGGUUCUGGAGUCCCUUCUAGAUUCUCUGGUUCCAAAGAAACCUCCACCAAUAGUGGUUAUUUAACCAUUUCUGGAGUUCUGGCUGAAGACGAGGCUGAUUAUUACUGUGCUAUCUGGUACAGCAGCACGUUUCACAGUGAUAUCUUCUGAUGGAGAAGUGAGACAAAAACUCUCCUUCCCUUUGAAAAUAACUACAGUAUUUUUCAGAGUUCUUUCAUCGAUGACAGUGCCGCUGCUUGA